GCAUUAGAUAAACUUAAGAAUUGAUCGAGGUAGUAUUUGAUUUCUCAGAAACAAGAAUGGUUGCUAUGAACAACACAAAUAUCAGGAUAUUUUUUUUCUUUGCCCUCAUUUUUCAAUGCUAUGAUGCGUGCAAAUUGAGUGAUCUUAAGAUACAUCAAGAGAAAACAGGAGCCCAAGUACACAACAAGCCAGAGUGGAAAGUUAGUAUAACCACUGAUUGUAGAUGUAGUUAUCCUAAUGUGUUUCUAAAAUGUGUUGCAUUUCAAACCGUGGAGCCUAUUGACUCUUCAAUUUUGACUUUCAAGGGUCCAUUCUGUGUUCUUGAUAAAGCUGUCUCUAGAUCUCACCCUAUUAUCUUCAAAUAUGCAUGGGAUACCGUUUAUCCCUUUACUAUUGCUAACGCAGAAAUUGCUUG